CCUACGGGAGGCUGCAGUGGGGAAUAUUGGACAAUGGGGGCAACCCUGAUCCAGCCAUGCCGCGUGUGUGAAGAAGGCCCUCGGGUUGUAAAGCACUUUCAGUGAGGAAGAACGCCUGGUGGUUAAUACCCAUCAGGAAAGACAUCACUCACAGAAGAAGCACCGGCUAACUCCGCGCCAGCAGCCGCGGUAAUACGGAGGGUGCGAGCGUUAAUCGGAAUUACUGGGCGUAAAGCGCGCGUAGGUGGCUUGAUAAGCCGGUUGUGAAAGCCCCGGGCUCAACCUGGGAACGGCAUCCGGAACUGUCAAGCUAGAGUGCAGGAGAGGAAGGUAGAAUUCCCGGUGUAGCGGUGAAAUGCGUAGAGAUCGGGAGGAAUACCAGUGGCGAAGGCGGCCUUCUGGACUGACACUGACACUGAGGUGCGAAAGCGUGGGUAGCAAACAGGAUUAGAUACCCGUGUAGUC
rnacentral:rRNA from 1 species